UAAAUCACUAGAAUGCUUUGUUGCCGAUU
rnacentral:sRNA from 1 species